AGCAGCCAAAUUCGUUGACUGAGUAUUCAACGUUUAUACGUUGUCGGCAACGAGAAAUAGGAAAAUGCAUCGGGAAAUGUUCUUUUUUCGAUUUUUUCCAAGGUUUUGACAAAUUUU
ensembl:ncRNA B0393.12 ncRNA